UUUGCCUACGGGAGGCAGCAGUCGGGAAUAUUGCGCAAUGGAGGAAACUCUGACGCAGUGACGCCGCGUGCAGGAAGAAGGUUUUCGGAUUGUAAACUGCUUUAGGCAGGGAAGAUACAAGACAGUACCUGUAGAAUAAGCUCCGGCUAACUACGUGCCAGCAGCCGCGGUAAUACGUAGGGAGCAAGCGUUAUCCGGAUUUAUUGGGUGUAAAGGGUGCGUAGACGGGAGUGCAAGUUAGUUGUGAAAUCCCUCGGCUUAACUGAGGAACUGCAACUAAAACUACAUUUCUUGAGUGCUGGAGA
rnacentral:rRNA from 1 species